AUGACUCGUCCACCUCGAAACCGAGCUGCAGAGGAUGAACAGCAACAGAGUCAGACAUUUGCAAUUUGUGACGAAACUCACAGUUCAUCGGAUAAAAUGAGAGCAGGUUACCUCAUCUUGUGUCGAAAGAACGACUAUGUUAACACCGGUAAGCAGGGAGGAGCUUGGGUUUGCACCGUCAGCGUUGUGGUUGAGCUUCAUCAAAUCGAGCAUCCUUUGGAAGGCGUCCUUGAGGAUCGCCUUGCCGUCGGAAUACUUGCUUCCCGCCAUCGACAUGGUGGCGUUGUUGCUGACGUAGAGCCUCUGCGUCCCGUGGGACACCGACUUGGGCAUCGGCCACAGGUCGACGUGGUCGGCAGCUAUGCAGGAUCCAAUUGCCAGGAGCGCGAGGAGGAGCCGCAGAGCUAG
rnacentral:rRNA from 1 species